UCCUUGGUGGUCCAGUGGUUAAGACCCCGCACUCCGACUGCAGUGGGCAUGGGUUCGAUCCCCGGUCAGGGAA